rnacentral:rRNA from 1 species
UACGUAGGGGGCAAGCGUUGUCCGGAUUUAUUGGGCGUAAAGAGCGUGUAGGCGGCUUUGCAAGUCCGUUGUGAAAACUCGAGGCUCAACCUCGAGACGCCGGUGGAAACUGCAAAGCUAGAGUCCGGAAGAGGAGAGUGGAAUUCCUGGUGUAGCGGUGAAAUGCGCAGAUAUCGGGAGGAACACCAGUGGCGAAGGCGACUUCCUGGCCUGUUCUUGACGCUGAGGCGCGAAAGCUAGGGGAGCAAACGGG